AUUGAACGCUGGCGGAAUGCUUUACACAUGCAAGUCGAACGGCAGCACGGGGCAACCUGGUGGCGAGUGGCGAACGGGUGAGUAAUACAUCGGAACGUGCCCAAUCGUGGGGGAUAACGUAGCGAAAGUUACGCUAAUACCGCAUACGAUCUACGGAUGAAAGCGGGGGAUCGCAAGACCUCGCGCGAAUGGAGCGGCCGAUGUCAGAUUAGGUAGUUGGUGGGGUAAAGGCUCACCAAGCCAACGAUCUGUAGCUGGUCUGAGAGGACGACCAGCCACAGUGGGACGGAGGUAGAGCCCAGACUCCUACGGGGGGCAGCAGUCUAGGGGCUUCGGCAAUGGGGGCAACCCUUACCGAGCGACGCCGCGUGCGGGAUUGAAGGCCUUCGGGUCGUAAACCGCUGUCAGGUGGGAAGAAUGCCCGUAUGGCGAAUACGGGAGUGACGGUACCACCAGAGGAAGCCCCGGCUAACUCCGUGCCAGCAGCCGCCGUAACAC
rnacentral:rRNA from 1 species